rnacentral:SRP_RNA from 2 species
GCCGGGCAUGGUGGCUCAUGCCUGUAAUCUCAGCGAUUUGGGAGGCUGAGGCAGGGGGAUCACUUGAGGUCAGGAGUUUGAGACCAGCCUGGCCAACAUGGUGAAACCCUGUCUCUA